AGCUAUAAUUUGCCUAAUGUCAUUCUUUGACAACGGAGGAAUUCUAUUUUGGGGUGAAUCCAUAAAGGUAAGGUUCUCUUUCCUGAACCCGUCAACUAACUUCGUCGGCAUAAAAAAAAGGUGUA
rnacentral:sRNA from 2 species